UACGUAGGGUGCAAGCGUUGUCCGGAAUUAUUGGGCGUAAAGAGCUCGUAGGCGGUUUGUCGCGUCGAAUGUGAAAACCCGGGGCUCAACCCCGGGCCUGCAUUCGAUACGGGCAGGCUAGAGUUCGGUAGGGGAGACUGGAAUUCCUGGUGUAGCGGUGAAAUGCGCAGAUAUCAGGAGGAACACCGGUGGCGAAGGCGGGACUCUGGGCCGAUACUGACGCUGAGGAGCGAAAGCGUGGGGAGCAAACAGG
rnacentral:rRNA from 1 species